GAGAUGGGUAUAAACGGAGGUCGGAGCCAGCUGCAAAUGGGUGGGUAAGCAGCAAGUGGGUGGAGCUUUACCCGCAAGUGGGCUGUACAAACUUCCAGAGGAUUUUGAUUGGUUUAUUUAUAUCACCUGUAGCAGCUAUUGGUUUAUGCUCCUCAGUUGGUGGCGCUAAUGCGUAAGUUUUGUAGCGAUCGAUCAGAAAACAAAGAAGAAAACCGCUUUCACAUGUCAGCGUGUUGUUGAAAUGAAGGGAUUAUGGAUUCUGAAGACCAUAAUAAUAAGGACAAUGCAGGACAAAGGCUGUCAAAUAACUGGAGUGUUUGUCUUGAUGGCAAUAUGCACUGUAUGUUAUUCUGGGACAGAAGUUUGACUUCACUGAAGUAAACAUGAAGAACAUAGGAAAAUGGUGGUGUGCCAUCUUGCUUGAAAAUUAAGUAAGUGUGAAAAAAUUAGCUGUACUUUUAACGUGGUGUUUUAAGAAACUCUUAAAGAAGUGAAGAAAUCUUGUUCAGUCUGUAAACUGUUUUGGGAAGACAUGGAACGGAAUGAUUUAGUGACUCGCUCAUAACACUAUUUCAGUAAAAAUAUAUUCUGCAGACCCUUUGAGUGAAAAGAAGUAGCAAAGUGUUUCAGUGAUGAUAAAAAUCAGCAGGUGUAAACACUACUUGCUCUAUCAAACUCCUUUAAUAGCUGUUCUUAAUACUAUUAGGGGUUGGCAAGAUUUUGAAAUGUUUUUGUAUUCAAAUGUUGUUGUAUUCAUUGGUGAAUAAUUUAAAAUUGGACCAUUAAUUAGAUUUUUUUCUAUAUUUACAAAAGUCUUUACUGUAAUUUGUAAUCAAUGUAAUGCAUCCUUGCAUUUAAUUAAUUUUGAUAUUGAACUUGUUCUAUUUCUUACUUUAUUUGUUUUUGUUGCAUGAUAAUCAAAUUGUGCAAGACAUGGGAGAAAGAGAAAAUGAGCUGUUGUAGCUGGUAUUGUCAGCUUUUUAUAUUUUGCUGAUAUUUUUUGUCAAAUAAAAAAUUAAUGGAUAAUUUUAUCACGUUUUAAUUCUAAUUCUCUUUCAGAAGAAGAAGAAGAAUGCUCUGCACUCCCUGAAACCUACGGGAAGAAAAAAAAUGAACUUGCAUAUGAAACAGACCAAACCGCAGUUGUGCCCUUUGUUUUUAGCAAGGAUGAGCUGUUAAAAGAUGAUGACCCUCCAUCAAGCUUUAUCUUCAAGGUAGUUGAAUGUUAUAUAAUGUGCUUUUUUUAAAAAUGUAACGGCCUGUGCUAACUUUUCAGUUAUCAGGAGCCUUGCUGAAGAACAUAGUUGUUCUUCAAGAAGAAGAUGCUGCCUACACGACCCUGUCAUUGGCUUGCUCAAGGUUCAGGGACAUAGUUGGUGAUGACAAGUUCAAGAAUCAGGCACACUUCUUAUGGCUAGAAAGUAAAUAUUGACAUUAAAAAAUAAAAUGCAUAACAAGAACAUCAUUGAUAAUGUUAUGUGAUUUUUUCACCUCGGGUGUUACAUGCUGGAAAAAAGACAUCUCACUACAAACAGCUCUUCUGGAAGAUGUACUCAUUCUCCACUUGUUUGGAGUGUGGGUUUGAGUACAAAUGCUGCACACCUGGUUAUGCUGGGAAGGAAAAGCGAGGUGAGCUCCAGGGCAUUUAUUCAAAAACCUUCCACCCUGGAUUUUGCCGAUUUGACUGCAUGCAGAUCAGUUCUAAUGAGCUGAUAUAGUUUCCUUACAAAGACUAAAAAUAAUAAAAUAAAAUAAACACUUUUGCAAUCAAUUCUGAGUGACUUGUACAUGAUUUUAUUCAUUGAAAAAAUAAUUUAAAUGUAAUAUAUGUGUAACACAUUCAGAAAAACAUUAGUCUGCUAUUUAAAAAAAAAAUGCAGUAAAGAUGGAUGGUAACUUUAUUUUACAUUAGCCACAUGUUUUUCAUGUAUUUACACAUUCACUUAACUAAGUCCAGUUGCAUCACAUUUUAAUAUGUUCAUUUACUUGAUAUUGUAGAAUAUGGAGCUUCAGAAAUGUGUUUGAAUAAGGCCUACAGCCUGAUGAAUUUAAAACGCCAUCACUUAAGUGUAAAAAAGGUGUAAAAACGUGACCUCAUCAUUGACCGCUAGUGGUAAUGGACACACACAAUAAUAACAAAGCUGUAAGAAAUCAGACCAUGAUGAGGAACGUGAUAUUUGAUCGUUUAUUUUCAUUACUGUCGCUACUUCCUGCCAUUCUCAUUCACCGCCGUCCCAUUUGCGGCGUAAACUCCUCCUACUUGCACAUUUCUGAAAUUCCUCCUACUUGCGGCAUAAGCUCCUCCCACUUGCGGCAUAAGCUCCUCCCACUUGCAGUCUCCGGGCUGCAGCGAUACAUACAUGCAAACA